GACGAACGCUGGCGGCGUGCCUAAUACAUGCAAGUUGAGCGCUGAAGGUUGGUACUUGUACCAACUGGAUGAGCAGCGAACGGGUGAGUAACGCGUGGGGAAUCUGCCUCUGAGCGGGGGACAACAUUUGGAAACGAAUGCUAAUACCGCAUAAAAACUUUAAACACAAGUUUUAAGUUUGAAAGAUGCAAUUGCAUCACUCAAAGAUGAUCCCGCGUUGUAUUAGCUAGUUGGUGAGGUAAAGGCUCACCAAGGCGAUGAUACAUAGCCGACCUGGGAGGGUGAUCGGCCACAUUGGGACUGAGACACGGCCCAAACUCCUACGGGAGGCAGCAGUAGGGAAUCUUCGGCAAUGGACGAAAGUCUGACCGAGCAACGCCGCGUGAGUGAAGAAGGUUUUCGGAUCGUAAAACUCUGUUGGUAGAGAAGGACGUUGGUGAGAGUGGAAAGCUCAUCAAGUGACGGUAACUACCCAGAAAGGGACGGCUAACUACGUG
rnacentral:rRNA from 1 species